rnacentral:tRNA from 1 species
UAGCUUACUGAUCAGAGCAUUGGUGCGUAAAGCCAAAAGUCCCGGGUUCGAUUCCCGG